rnacentral:rRNA from 1 species
UUUCCGGUUGGGGGUACCUGCGGAGGGAUCAUUACACAAAUAUGAAGGCGGGCUGGAACCUCUCGGGGUUACAGCCUUGCUGAAUUAUUCACCCUUGUCUUUUGCGUACUUCUUGUUUCCUUGGUGGGUUCGCCCACCACUAGGACAAACAUAAACCUUUUGUAAUUGCAAUCAGCGUCAGUAACAAAUUAAUAAUUACAACUUUCAACAACGGAUCUCUUGGUUCUGGCAUCGAUGAAGAACGCAGCGAAAUGCGAUAAGUAGUGUGAAUUGCAGAAUUCAGUGAAUCAUCGAAUCUUUGAACGCACAUUGCGCCCUUUGGUAUUCCAAAGGGCAUGCCUGUUCGAGCGUCAUUUGUACCCUCAAGCUUUGCUUGGUGUUGGGCGUCUUGUCUCUAGCUUUGCUGGAGACUCGCCUUAAAGUAAUUGGCAGCCGGCCUACUGGUUUCGGAGCGCAGCACAAGUCGCACUCUCUAUCAGCAAAGGUCUAGCAUCCAUUAAGCCUUUUUUUCAACUUUGACCUCGGAUCAGUAGGAACCCCGGCCCC